CCUACGGGAGGCAGCAGUGGGGAAUAUUGCACAAUGGGCGCAAGCCUGAUGCAGCGACGCCGCGUGCGGGAUGAAGGCCUUAGGGUUGUAAACCGCUUUCAGCAGGGACGAAAUUGACGGUACCUGCAGAAGAAGCCCCGGCCAACUACGUGCCAGCAGCCGCGGUAAUACGUAGGGGGCGAGCGUUGUCCGGAUUUAUUGGGCGUAAAGAGCUCGUAGGCGGUCCGGUAAGUCGGAUGUGAAAUCUCCACGCUUAACGUGGAGGGGUCAUUCGAAACUGCCAUGGCUAGAGUUUGGUAGAGGAGUGCGGAACUCCCGGUGUAGCGGUGAAAUGCGCAGAUAUCGGGAAGAACACCCGCAGCGAAGGCGGCACUCUGGGCCAAUACUGACGCUGAGGAGCGAAAGCGUGGGGAGCAAACAGGAUUAGAUACCCUGGUAGUCCACGCCGUAAACGUUGGGCACUAGGUGUGGGGAUCUAUCGACGGUCUCCGUGCCGUAGCUAACGCAUUAAGUGCCCCGCCUGGGGAGUACGGCCGCGAGACGUAAACGUACAANAGAAGUAAGUACGCGUUGAGACGUUGCGAGGCGACGACGAGGGAGAGG
rnacentral:rRNA from 1 species